GUGCAGCACCAUCAAGAUUCACAUCCCCAGCUCGAUCUGUGCAUGAUGAGAUGAGAAUCUUGAUGAUGCUGCAU